UUUGGUGACGAUAGCAAAGAGGAUACACCUGUUCCCAUCCCGAACACAGUAGUUAAGCUCUUUAGCGCCGAUGGUA
rnacentral:rRNA from 1 species